rnacentral:rRNA from 1 species
GAUGAACGCUGACAGAAUGCUUAACACAUGCAAGUCGAAGGGGAAGUGGUGCUUGCACCAUGGCAACCAUGGCGGACGGGUGAGUAACGCGUAAGGGACUCACCUGCAGGACUGGGAUAACAGGGGGAAACUCCUGACAAGACCGGACAAUGUCACGGAGCUGCAUGGCUUUAUGAUGAAAGGAGACGUCUGCGGCGAGCCUUGCGUCCUAUUAGCUAGUUUGUGAGGUAAUGGCUCACCAAGGCGAAGAUAGGUAGCCGGCCUGAGUGGGUGGACGGCCACAAGGGGACUGAGAUACGGCCCUUACUCCUACGGGAGGCAGCAGUGAGGAAUAUUGGACAAUGGGGGCAACCCUGAUCCAGCAAUUCUGUGUGCACGAAGAAGGUUUUCGGAUUGUAAAGUGCUUUCAGCAGGGAAGAAGUAAGUGACGGUACCUGCAGAAGAAGCGACGGCUAAAUACGUG